rnacentral:rRNA from 1 species
GAUGAACGCUGGCGGCGUGCCUAAUACAUGCAAGUCGAGCGAACAGACGAGGAGCUUGCUCCUCUGACGUUAGCGGCGGACGGGUGAGUAACACGUGGAUAACCUACCUAUAAGACUGGGAUAACUUCGGGAAACCGGAGCUAAUACAGGAUAAUAUAUUGAACCGCAUGGUUCAAUAGUGAAAGACGGUUUUGCUGUCACUUAUAGGUGGAUCCGCGCCGCAUUAGCUAGUUGGUAAGGUAACGGCUUACCAAGGCAACGAUGCGUAGCCGACCUGAGAGGGUGAUCGGCCACACUGGAACUGAGACACGGUCCAGACUCCUACGGGAGGCAGCAGUAGGGAAUCUUCCGCAAUGGGCGAAAGCCUGACGGAGCAACGCCGCGUGAGUGAUGAAGGUCUUCGGAUCGUAAAACUCUGUUAGUAGGGAAGAACAAAUGUGUAAGUAACUAUUCACGUCUUGACGGUACCUAAUCAGAAAGCCACGGCUAACUACGUG